AUUGCUUCUCAGCCUUCUGGCUAAGAUCAAGUAUAGUAUCUAUUCUUACAGUUUAAUAUCUGAUUCAUCCUCUAUCUGAGAACAAUAUAUUAAAUGGAUUUUUGGAAGUAGGAGUUGGAAUAGGAGUUUGCUCCAUUCACUCCAUUCAUUGACCUAGUAUUGCAGUACCUCGUGGAAUGGUGCACCUCCU